UACGUAGGGUGCAAGCGUUAAUCGGAAUUACUGGGCGUAAAGCGCGCGUAGGCGGACCUGCAAGUCGGGGGUGAAAUCCCGGGGCUCAACUCCGGAACUGCACUGGAUACUGCUCCGCUAGAGUACUGGAGAGGAAACUGGAAUUUACGGUGUAGCAGUGAAAUGCGUAGAGAUCGUAAGGAAGACCAGUGGCGAAGGCGAGUUUCUGGACAGUUACUGACGCUGAGGCACGAAGGCCAGGGGAGCAAACGGG
rnacentral:rRNA from 1 species